GGAGGUGUAGCUCAGUGGCAGAGCACUUGCCUUGCGUGUGUGAGCCCUGGGUUUGAUCCCCAACUCCA
rnacentral:tRNA from 1 species